GUCAGCUAGAUUGUCUUUGUGUCUGUCAUUGCAGAUGGCGUUUAAUGAUUGCUUUAGUUUGAGCUAUCCUGGUAACCCCCAGCCGGGGGACUUGAUUGAAGUGUUUCGUUCUGGCUAUCAGCACUGGGCACUGUACCUGGGUGAUGGUUAUGUUAUCAACAUAGCACCUCUAGAGGAUGGCAUUCCUGCAGCAUUUACAAGCGCCAAGUCUAUAUUUAGCAGGAAGGCUUUGGUGAAGAUGCAGCCCCUGAAGGAUGUCGUGGGAAACGACACAUACAGAAUAAACAAUAAAUAUGAUGAAACUUAUCCUCCUCUCCCCAUGGAGGAAGUCAUGCAGCGGUCAGAGAUUGUUAUUGGACAGGAGGUGGAUUAUGACAUACUUGUCAACAACUGUGAGCAUUUUGUGACUUUGCUUCGCUAUGGAGAAGGAGUUUCAGAGCAGGCGUGCUAUGGAAAACUGCUGAUCUAAUACAGGACACUCCAUAAAGGAGUCACGUCAGCUGAGAAGUCCAGGAGGGCCGGGACGCCCUGCAGUGACCAAGCUACGUGAAGGGUCACCAGAGAAGCCCCAAUGCUUUAUCACUGCGUGUCUGGUGAAUUCUGCAUGAAUGGAUGAACGGGACCCAGAUGUUGGGAAGAAGAUGAUGCCCCAAGUAUCCAUCCUGACGAAGGCCUGGUAGUCACAGCAACUGAGUGGAGUGCUGGACACAUCACACCAUCCUUAGACUAAUGAUCUGAAAAGCAGGCCAGGUGGGCACACGAAUGACCAGUGUGGAAGGAAAAUUAUAAGGCCUUCAUGUAAUUCAGCUUUGAUUGGAGAACAUAAUGAUGAACGGAAGUGAGUGUUGCCUGCCUAGAUCAGUUGCUGUUGAUGAGGAAGCUUGAAAGAAGGGUACUCUUUUUGCACACGUCAUUUGGGAAGACAUGUCCUGGGCAAGACACUACAGAUUGUUUGCAAGGAAGGGAAGGGUUUGCAAAUAGUCACAUCUGUUUCCAUAAAGAUUAAGUUUGUAUUCUUUCUAGACCAUCUCAUUAUAAAGUUGAUCUGCCAAAGGCUAUCAAGAAAGAUACAGAGUUGAAAAUAAAAUUGCUGGAUAUUGUAAUAGAAAGUUCCAAGGACUUUUGAGACUAAAUGACUUAGGAGAUUCUGUUAGAAUAUUUGUUUAUGAAACUUGUUUUUAACUUAAGAUUUUCAGUGAUUUUCGAUGUAGGACUUGAGUUUACCCACAAGCUUUAAGUCACUAUGAUGUAACUAAUUCGGUUCUCACUUAAUUCAAUGUAUGUAAAAAGCUUUGUAGUUACUGUUCAAACUAAAGUACUUGCCAAUGUAAUAUAUCAUAUCCUCCUUGUAAAAUACAUUCACAAUCAAAAAAAGGACUAUAAGUGAUUUACCUUAAAACAUAAAGCAGAAUCUUGAUUUGUUGUGACAAGAGCCAAGGGCAUUAUCAAACACUGAAUCAAAACUAAAAAAUAUCAUAAGAAAAUCAGGAAGAAGUUUAUAAAAAAUAUAAAAUGAAAGGAAGGUCUUAGCAUGCUCUCAAAACCUUUGAAAAAACAGCUGUACCAAAAAAAAAAGGGGGGGUGUGGUAGUGACAAUAGAAUGGUAAAUAAUUACUAAAACUCGUUUAACAUAGUAAAGGUAUGUUUCUAGUUUAAGAAUAGGAAUGAGGCUUACUUUUCUAAUAUCUAUGACUUAUUUAGAAAAUUACAGAUUACAGGUUAUGCCAUACGAUGGCAAAACUAUAGUAAAUUCCCCAGAGCAGAAAUUUUACAGGCCAGGUUCUCUGAUCAGGACAAUAAAACUAGAAAUUAUUAACUAAAUUUAAUGAAAAAUCCCUUCUAACAUAGAGAUUUAACACAAAAUUCAAAACAUCAGCUGGGACAAAAAAAA